rnacentral:rRNA from 1 species
UACGAAGGGGGCUAGCGUUGCUCGGAAUCACUGGGCGUACAGGGUGCGUAGGCGGGGCUUUAAGUCAGGGGUGAAAUCCUGGAGCUCAACUCCAGAACUGCCUUUGAUACUGAAGAUCUUGAGUUCGGGAGAGGUGAGUGGAACUGCGAGUGUAGAGGUGAAAUUCGUAGAUAUUCGCAAGAACACCAGUGGCGAAGGCGGCUCACUGGCCCGAUACUGACGCUGAGGCACGAAAGCGUGGGGAGCAAACAGG